rnacentral:tRNA from 1 species
GCUAUAUUGGCAGAGAAGUGCAAUGAAUUUAGAAUUCAUAUAUGUAAUUAAUUACAUAUAGUA